GUGCGUGCGUGCGCACAAACGAGGGCGCGCAUGUCGGGACGGAACUAGAAAAGCUCAGUGGGGCUGGCGGCAACUCUAGGUCUAACAUCCCUCGGAAGUUCGUGCAGCGGCCUCGCUGAAAAUGGCUUUACAGCCCGGCAGAACCCUCCGACUCCGCAGCAGGACCUGCGGAGCCUCUCCGCCCUCGGUGAGCAGACAGCUUCGGAGUGAGAACGGCUCCCCGCGGGUCCCCGGUGGCGCGCGGCUCCCGGAGGCAAAACAAAGCUGGGGCCGGGGCGUCGGAGCCUCCGCGUUGUAGUUGGGAGAGGUUCGAACGGGGCCCCAGCUGGCGAAAGGGAAAACGGACCCGGACCCGGACCCGUGGAGCCUGCUCGAAAGCCGGGUGCUGGGGGUCUGGGCCCCGUGUCCCCCCUCUUUUUCUUCUUCAAUAAGAAAUUCCUCAAGGGCAGACUGCGAGUCCACAGUCGUGAAGCCACCUAAUCUGGCUUCAUACCUGGAAUGUUUGGAUUCCUGGUACGAAGAAAAACUAACAUUUAUUGGCUACUUGUCCACUGGAAGGCGUUGUCUUAUUUCUCAUUAACUCCUUGAGUCAGCAUUACGUCUUUUAUUACAGAUGACACAACUACUAAAGCUUUAAAUAGUUCUUUGGGAGCAAA
rnacentral:lncRNA from 1 species